CAUUUUUAAAAGAUACUUUCUAGUUUUUUGUUUUGUUUUGUUUUGAGAGUCUCUGUCACCCAGGUUGGAGGGCAGUGGUGCGAUCUUGACUCACUACAACCUCUGCCUCCCAGGUUCGAGCGAUUCUUGUGCCUCAGCCUCCUGAGUAGCUGGGACUACAGGGAAGCCACUGGAUCCCAAGGGCUAACGCGAGGUGAGAGAAGCCAGCUACAAGUUUAAG
rnacentral:lncRNA from 13 species